rnacentral:rRNA from 1 species
UAGGGAAUCUUCGGCAAUGGACGAAAGUCUGACCGAGCAACGCCGCGUGAGUGAAGAAGGUUUUCGGAUCGUAAAACUCUGUUGUUAGAGAAGAACAAGGACGUUAGUAACUGAACGUCCCCUGACGGUAUCUAACCAAAAAGCCACGGCUAACUACGUGCCAGCAGCCGCGGUAAUACGUAGGUGGCAAGCGUUGUCCGGAUUUAUUGGGCGUAAAGCGAGCGCAGGCGGUUUCUUAAGUCUGAUGUGAAAGCCCCCGGCUCAACCGGGGAGGGUCAUUGGAAACUGGGAGGCUUGAGUGCAGAAGAGGAGAGUGGAAUUCCAUGUGUAGCGAUGAAAUGCGUAGAUAUAUGGAGGAACACCAGUGGCGAAGGCGGCUCUCUGGUCUGUAACUGACGCUGAGGCUCGAAAGCGUGGGGAGCAAACAGG